ensembl:lncRNA
GAAGAUUAGAAAAGUAAAUGACCACACAGUUCAUCAAUUUAUUUAUGCGUUCAGUCGACCAGCAGGUCAAUAAACACAGGUGGGCUGUGGCUUACUCUUUUAGGCAGAAUGUAUGUAAAUCAGCAACAUGACCGGGUGAACUUGGACAGUGACUACCAGGUGGAUUUGGAUAAGGACAACCAGGUGGACUUGGACAGGGACAACCAGGUGGAUUUGGAUAAGGACAACCAGGUGGACUUGGACAGCAACAACCAGGUGGAUUUGGAUAAGGACAACCAGGUGGACUUGGACAGGGACAACCAGGUGGACUUGGACAGGGGCAACCUGAUGGGUUGUGUUGCAGAGACAAAUAACACAAUUCCUCCAUAUCUAAGGUUUAAACACAAUUAAUCAGAAAAUAUUGAAUAAAUCACUGAAUAUCCCCAAUGAGUUGCUUUCCAUCCCCAGGCUCCUAACCAACCUCAGUU